GAUGAACGCUAGCGGCAGGCCUAACACAUGCAAGUCGAGGGGCAUCGCGGUGCAGCAAUGCACUGGCGGCGACCGGCGUACGGGUGCGUAACGCGUAUGCAACCUGCCCCGCACCGGGGGAUAGCCCGCCGAAAGGCGGAUUAAUACCCCAUGGCCCCGGGGGCCCGCAUGGGCAUCCGGGUAAAGCUUUGGCGGUGCGGGAUGGGCAUGCGUGCCAUUAGCUGGCUGGUGGGGUAACGGCCCACCAGGGCAACGAUGGCUAGGGGGUCUGAGAGGAUGGUCCCCCCACACUGGUACUGAGACACGGACCAGACUCCUACGGGAGGCAGCAGUGAGGAAUAUUGGUCAAUGGGCGGAAGCCUGAACCAGCCAUGCCGCGUGCGGGAUGAAGGCCCUACGGGUUGUAAACCGCUUUUCCCCGGGAAGAAUAAGCCCCCCGCGGGGGGUGAUGCCGGUACCGGGGGAAUAAGGAUCGGCUAACUCCGUG
rnacentral:rRNA from 1 species